AUGGAAGACGUUGGACAGAAUCCACUGGAUGAUGAGCAUUAGAAGCCGUAAAACAGAACCUUGACUGCCUGAAUUCAGACCUUGAAAAGGACCUGCAGAAACUGGAUAUGGAGAAUCAGGUUCUCCUUAGAAAGAUUAAAGAGAAAGAAGAAACUAUUUCAAGCCUGGAAAGAAAGCUGGCCUUGUCACUAGAAGAAGCCAAAGAGGAGGAGGAGUUGAACUAUAUCAUAGAUGAACAGGAGGAAUCCCUGAGGGAGCUGGAAUUAGAGACAGCAAAGCUGGAAAAAAGUAAUGCAAUCCUAAGCAGGAAUGUGGUGGAGGUUCAGAAAAAGGUAAGGGGAGCCCUGGGUUUUUUAGGGUCACCGAGUCCCUAAGAACAUUGUGUCUUCACAAAAGAAAGGCAAGACUACAGAAGUCAACAGAGUCCUGUGCAAAGCAAGAGGAGGAACUGGCCAAGAUAGAGAGUGACUACCAAUCUGUGUCUGACCUCUGUAAGGACCAGGUCUACUACAUAAAGAAAUACCAGGAAGUUCUGAGGAAGAUGAAAGAGGAAAAGGAGACGCUGCUUCUUGAAAAACAAAUAUCCAAAGCCCAGAAUGACUCCUCUCAAACAGUGAAACCGGGAUCAAUUUUGGCGGACACCACCCAAAGAAACAUGGAGAGGACCACCAUUAAGAAACAGGAGAGAAGGUGUUGGUACAUAUUUCCAGUAUCUCACCUUCAUGGUCUUAGUCUUUAUUAGGUUGCUGGCUUAUGUGAUUUUCCACCUGCAGUACAUAAACCCAGAUCUUCUCGUGGAUGUCCUGCCCCUGGUGCUGAGCAGGGGCACCUUGGAGAGUCUGAGGAAGGUCUCACAUCCCUUCCUCACUCUAGCAGUGGAAGAAGCACUACCAC
rnacentral:sRNA from 1 species